CCUACGGGAGGCAGCAGUGAGGAAUAUUUGGUCAAUGGACGAGAGUCUGAACCAGCCAAGUAGCGUGCAGGAUGACGGCCCUAUGGGUUGUAAACUGCUUUUAUAAGGGAAUAAAGUGAGUCUCGUGAGACUUUUUGCAUGUACCUUAUGAAUAAGGACCGGCUAAUUCCGUGCCAGCAG
rnacentral:rRNA from 1 species